CAAGCACUAAAGGAAUGAAGUGGACACUGGGUCCCAUCCCUAAACACGAACCUAUCUACAAUGGACACCAACUGUCACCCUGUCACCAGCAAAAUCAGUUUUCUCCAAUAGUCUCUCUGAGUAUAUCAACCAUACCUUCAGGACAGGUUCCACGAGUAGUCGGCCAGCCUAGUCGGGCAGCCGAACAGAAUUCAGUGCUAUUUUUGUGGGCUCUUUCCUUUCGCUUUGUUUGGCACUGUUUCAUUGGUCUUUUCCCCGCCUGUUUUGAUUGGGGGAGGGGGCUGGGAGUUGUUUUUUGCUUUUCUUAUUUGCUUUUUGUUUGUUUUUGAGAGACGGAAAACCAAGUUGGACAGGUAGGGAAAUGGACAGGCUCUGGGGGAAAAAUGAUCAAUGUAUUAUUUUCUUACAAAUGUUAAGAAAAAUAUUCUUAAGCAAAUAUAA
rnacentral:lncRNA from 1 species